rnacentral:rRNA from 1 species
CAGUCGCCGCGGUAAAACGGAGGGAGCUAGCGUUGUUCGGAAUUACUGGGCGUAAAGCGUGCGUAGGCGGCUUCUUAAGUCGGAUGUGAAAUCCCUGAGCUUAACUUAGGAAUUGCAUUCGAUACUGGGAAGCUAGAGUAUGGGAGAGGAUGGUAGAAUUCCAGGUGUAGCGGUGAAAUGCGUAGAGAUCUGGAGGAAUACCGAUGGCGAAGGCAGCCAUCUGGCCUAAUACUGACGCUGAGGUACGAAAGCAUGGGGAGCAAACAGGAUUAGAUACCCCGGUAGUCCCUGUCUCUUAUAC